GCAAAAUGAAACAGGAGGUGGAAGAACAGAAACCCAAAAUACAUACAAGUAUAUUUACAAUUGACUGAAAUGUCACUAUGAAUGUGUUUUUGUUGUUCUAUCUGACUGAAAGUAGUCGUAUGAUGCUCCACCUGCAAUCUGUAAACGAACAUUAACAAUGGAGUGCACUUUUACCUUAACAUGAGUGAAACAUGACGAAUUAUUCAAGCAUUUGUCAAAACAAAACAGUUUUGAAUGAUGUCCUCAUGUCCUCAUGUCAUUUACUAAUGUGGUCAUGCCACAAUCAACUAACUCUGUUUCUGUCUGCAGAGGAUGGAUCCGUAAGCCCGUCAGGGACGCGCUAUUACCAGCCUCUGGUUGUUUGGCCUGCGGGCGUCAGUCUGCCUGGGUCUUUUAUUUGUGGCAGAUGCCUUGGCAUCUGUACCCAGGCCAGGAGCACUGGAGCAGAUUGGUGGCCGUGAUGGUGCCUGUUUUUCAUCAUUCGUUAGCCAAGGCCUGCAGAUAAGCCAUCGUCCCACAGGGGCCUUCCUCUGAAGCGUACUCUCAGGAAAAGAUGGUGGGCCACAUGUGAGGGUCUGUGGUGCCAAGACAGCAGGCGAAUGAGAUGAUGGACACAGAAACAUUGUCACUCUCAGACAGUGCUGGCCUGCACUCUUUCAGGCUGUGCGAGGAUCUCAUCUGAAGCCUGCAUCCGUCUCCUUCACCACCAUCACCACACCACGGCGACUCUGAGAUGACUGUCACUGUCGCCUACCUCCACCUGCUGCUCUGCUCUGUGAUUUCAUGCUCAGGCAUAAAAAUCUACUCCAACGUUCUCCUUAUUACUACUCAGUGGUUUUGGAGGCACUGAAUUGUGCAAUACUCAGAACAGCAGAUCAAAAGAGUCCUUGUGUGUUUGCAUGUAUGCUCAAUCAAAAUGUUAUGUAUGUAAUGUAACAAAAAAAUAAUUUCCCCCAGGGAUCAAUAAAGCAUUCUGAUGCUGAUUUUAUUUUAUGAAUAUAGUAGUGAAUAUAUAACAAGC
ensembl:lncRNA